UUAUUUGAUAAAAGAUAAUUAACCAAAACUCAUUUUACCAAUGACAUGCUCUCUUGGCCUGCCUAUCAUUGGUCUGCGAGGCUAAUAGUGUGUCGGCCCAGAACGGUCCAUCGCGUCCCCUACCCUACAAAUUUGACCCCUAAACCUAACUCUCAACAUUAAAUCCACCCCUCUCCCAAUCUCCACAGCCGACGGCAAUCCCCCACCUCUACCUCUCCCUCCCCUACACCCACUCCAUCGAAGCCUCCCUACAGAUCUGGCGACGCCUCCGCUAGGCGGGAUGGCCACGAUGUCCAUGUGCUCGGCAUCGAUGGUGGCCGCACACGGGACGACCCCAACGGCCGUGCCUGGGAUGGCCACUUCGGAUCUCGGCCUAGUGGACAAUGACGACCAGAUCUACCGGCUGGGAGGAUCUCGGCUGCCUCCUCGACGACCUCUCGUCGGCCACAACCAUAUCAUUUGGGAGGUUGGUUCAUAAUGAAUAAGGAUAACGUCCGAUUACCUUUUGUGUACUAUAUAAUGCUCACUACCACCUACUAUUUGUUCUCGCAUUGGGAUCUCUUUUGUGGCUGUGCGCGGGAUGGCCACUUCGGAUCUUUGCCUAGUGGACAACGACGACCAGAUGUACCGGCAGGGAGGAUCUCGGUUGCCUCCUCGGCGACCUCUUGUCGGCCACAACCAUAUCAUUUGGGAGUAUUUGUUCUCGCAUUGGGAUCUCUUUUGUGGCCAUGCGCGGGAUGGCCACUUAGGAUCUUUGCCUAGUGGACAACAACGACCAGAUCUACCGGCAGGGAGGAUCUCGGUUGCCUCCUCGGUGACCUCUCGUCGGCCACAACCAUAUCAUUUGCGAGGUUGGUUCAUAAUGAAUAAGGAUAAUGUCUGAUUACCUUUUUUGCAACAGAUAAUGCUCACUACCACCUAGUAUUUGUUCUCGCAUUGGGAUCCCUUUUGUGGCCGUGCGCGGGAUGGCCACUUCGGAUCUUGGCCUAGUGGACAACGACGACCAGAUCUGCCAGCAGGGAGGAUCUCGGUUGCCUCCUCGGCGACCUCUCGUCGGCCACAACCAUAUCAUUUGGGAGGUUGGUUCAUAAUGUAUAAGGAUAAUGUCCGAUUACCUUUUGUGCAAUAGAUAAUGCUCACUACCACCUAGUAUUUGUUCUCGCACUGGGAUCUCUUUUGUGGCCGUGCGCGGGAUGGCCACUUUGGAUCUUGGCCUAGUGGACAACGACGACCAGAUCUACCGGCAGGGAGGAUCUCGGUUGCCUCCUCGGUGACCUCUCGUCGGCCACAACCAUUUCAUUUGGGAGUAUUUGUUCUCGCAUUGGGAUCCCUUUCGUGGCCGUGCGCGGGAUGGCCACUUCGGAUCUUGGCCUAGUGGACAACGACGACCAGAUCUGCCGGCAGGGAGGAUCUCGGUUGCCUCCUCGGCGACCUCUCGUCGGCCACAACCAUAUCAUUUGGGAGUAUUUGUUUGCAUUGGGAUCUCUUUUGUGGCCGUGCGCACGAUGGACACUUCGGAUUUUGGCCUAGUGGACAACGACGCCUAGAUCUACCGACAGGGAGGAUCUCGGUUGCCUCCUAGGCGACCUCUCGUCUGCCACAACCAUAUCAUUUGGGAGGAGUCAAAAAUAACUAGACGAGGGGAUAAAGCAAUUCAUUUGAAUGAGCCACCAUGCAGCGAACAAAGGAAUCGAUAGAACACCGUCAUGGGAGGUCGGCCAAACCUUGCCACCAUGCGCACAUUUGGAAGGAUGCUACAUUGCUAUCUCUACCAACAAGGUGUUCCAAUGUGGAAAUAUCCAAGAGCAAAAGUGAAUCAUCAUUCUUGAUUAACACAUGAUUCACUAUAACCAAGUAGUAUUUGUGAUUGAAAUCUUCUUUGUAAAGUAUGUCCAUAUAUGUACUAAUGUUACGAUCAUAUAUACUAGUGAUAUUGUUUACAUAUAAAGGAAAAUGCCUUUCAAUUCACUAAGCAUGAUGAUGCAUAUUUGGGGUAUUUCAUAUGCAUGGAUGAAUAGUUUUUUUGGGUACUGACGUGCAUGAAAGCUUGGCUUUAUCAGCUACAACAAAAGGAUCGCCCUUUCUGUUAUGAAUAUGUCAAAAAAGUAUGGUAUGCUAUUACAAGUAAGUAUUAGUUUCGUGACUUAGUGGAUAAUAAAAUGCAAAGCACAACAUGUCUCGCAAUCGACUGAAUCCAUCGAAAAGGCUACCAGUUCUUCGUUUGUAAGCAAAGGAAAAGAAAAACAAGUAGUACAAGCAAAACUAGCUAGCUCUAACCUCUAAGAGAUACCAACAAUUGAUUCCAUGAAAAGAAUAGCAUGCCUCUUGUUUUGCGAACAAUAGUUUGCCGCUUUCCUAGCAGAUUUUGAUUAUCAAAUCGUCAAAAGUGCGUGCGUGAUCGCCUUUGGUUGCUUGCGUGCGGGGAGCGUUGGCAGGUGAGCGGUGAACGUACCAGGGUUCAUGCACGUCCAUGCGAGUGACGUCCUUGAUAUCCUCAGGCUGCGUUUAAGUGUCUGCUCGAGUCUAUAGAUGAUGAUCAAACGAUGAGUCACUGAAGUUGCAGACGAGUACACGCUCAACCACAUCUGCAGACGAGUACACGUUCAGUGACGCGGUGUGCAUGCCAGUAUGUGCGUGUCCUAUUGUACAUAUACAGAAGAAAAAAAAGUCCAGCUGGAAGAUUCAAGCACACGCACGGUUGCAGCUGUUGCAUGCAUGCGACGUUAGGAGUGCACUGGCACACCGCCCGCCGCUUGUACUCGCCUGCAAAUGUACGUAUUUGUCAAACGUAUUUCGUGGCAACUUCAGUUAGAUUAGAUAGGCGGCAGUGACUCAUCGUGAGGCCAUCAUCAUCCAUAGACACGAGUUCCUGACGCUUACAGCCAGCCUGGGGAUAGAGAGGCCGACACUCGCAUGGACGGACGGGCGCCUAGGUGCAGCCGAGAACGCACCAGUCCCCUCGCUAAAAAAAAAAGAGAGAGAGAGAAAGAGAACACACUAGUCACAGAGUUUCAGUUACCCGUUGCUGUGCUGUAAAGUGCUGCAGCUUCACUGUGGAAAAGAACAACGAGUUGCUCGCGGAUCGGCGGAGUCUCGCCUCCUCCGGUGGCCGGUCGUCUGAGCGACGUGAGGAAACGGAAGCAACUAGUAACCGAAAAGGAACGACCGAACGAGAGCGAGGAAGGACCGGCGCCGCCCGGGCGGCGAGAUCUUUUUUUUUUUUGAAAGAUCCAGGGAUUCCUGGCUUUUCAUUGAUUUAGCAGAGAGCAAUGGGGAAAACAAACAUGGGGAGGGGGGUGACCCGUAGGUCAAGGAGUGAAGAGAAAAGAAAACGGAGAGAAAGAGAAAAAACUAGGGUUUUCAAGGUUACAUAUUCCCGAACGGGGGCUCUAGGCAUGUUGCGCCCGCGGCUCGCCACAGAUCGAUGGCUCUCCUGAUGGAUGCAACUACCUCAGAGACGGAGGCCACCUUGCCCCUGAAAGUGCAGUCGUUUCUUUCUCUUCGGAUUUCCCACAGAGCCAGGAGGAUGAGGGAGUUGACAGCUUUUCUGAAUGCUGGGCUGGUGUCGUUGAUCAUCUUGGUGGCGAUCAAUGUGGAGUUCGGUAGCGGUUGCCAUCUGGUCGGGUCGACGGCGCCACAUCCGGUCCACGCCGCCAGCCUCUGCCAUACCACCCUAGCAAAGUUGCAUUGCCAGAAGAGGUGCGUCGCCGU